rnacentral:rRNA from 1 species
UACGGAGGGUGCGAGCGUUAAUCGGAAUUACUGGGCGUAAAGGGUGCGUAGGUGGUUUAAUAAGUUAGCUGUGAAAUCCCUGAGCUCAACUUAGGAAGGUCAGCUAAGACUGUUAGACUCGAGUAUGGGAGAGGGUAGUGGAAUUUCCGGUGUAGCGGUGAAAUGCGUAGAGAUCGGAAGGAACAUCGGUGGCGAAGGCGGCUACCUGGCCUAAUACUGACACUGAGGCACGAAAGCGUGGGGAGCAAACAGG